rnacentral:lncRNA from 1 species
AAGCAGAUGGCGGCUGACCUUUGAGCGGCUCCCGGUCCAAAGCGAUGAACCUCGGGGGCGGGGCCACGGAACUCUCGAAACAGACCUGCAGAUAUAACAUAUUCCGCCUUUAACAGCGUCCUACAGCUGCCAAAAUGCUGCUGUCCACACAUUAGCAGGAACACGAGAACUCGGCACAAGAGCCGCUGCAACGAGCACCAUGUGAAAAAUGUGGCCUGGAAGUGAUUCGAUAUUGAAGCAAAAUAAAAAGUGAUUGCGGUUCAUUUGGGGUCCGGCGGAAAGGAGGUUUUACAGAGCAGCGGUACGGUUCUGACCGGUGCAGUGAGUGACGCGCUGCACCGACACGUGAAAGCGGUACAAAUAACGGGCACAACAGCAGACAACUGACAACCACAUCCUGUCAAAAUCGUAAUAAUUAUUGAUGCCGACGCACGUGCCGGUACUUCUUGUACCGCUUUCAAAUUUGCUGCUCGUUUCAUAUCUGCGCCGAACAUUUCCUGUGGAAACGAAUCCCCGUCGCACACUGUUGGAUGGCCCUGCAGCAGAACUCCUCGAACCGUGGGCAGGCUCCCCAGGCGGGGCUCUCGUCCCCCGUGAUCUCGGAGCGCUUCUCCUCGGGGACCAACUGAGGCCGGAGGCGAAGAGCAGAACCUCGACGCUCCAAUUAGCGCUUUGCGCACCGAACGCACGGACGAGGGAUCGAGGGACCCGAGGCUCCGCUGCCAGGAAGCGUAAUGACACACCGCUAGAAAAAUGAUGUCCUUCUUGACGGCGUAGCGGACAGGCCGACCCGUCUCGCAAGUCGUUCCCUGUUGAACAAACAUCGCAUCCCUCGUUGCUGAUUGGCUGACGAGGCCAAGGGGGCGUGGCUUCUCAGAGCGGUGCGACGACCCCGGAGCUGGAGAUGCGCCGAAGGGCUGCAGGAAUCAGGACUACUGUUUAACCGCACAUUUUACAGUUGUGCGUUUGCGCUGUUAAAAAUUGAUCAAAAGAGUGUAAAUGUACUGUAGUAACGGUAAAGGGACUGCGUUUCAAACGGAAAUGGCCAAGUUUGUACAGCACCCACCUUCAUUAUUUGUAUUAUUCUUAUUCUCACCAUGUUUGGUCUUUGACUCCUUAAACCUGUCCUGUGUAUGUUCACUGUUAGCUGUACUAUAUGGACUGUACCGUGUUACUGUACUGCACUCACUGUACUGUACAGAGGGUAAUUACUGUGGUACAUUAACUGUACUGUAUGGACUGUUGCGUUCAGUACAUUUACAUUUACAUUUACAUUUAUUUAUUUAGGAGACACUUUUCUCCAAAGCGACUUCCAAUGAACUCUAUGUAGUGUUAUCAGCCCACACACCUUAUUCACUGUGGGAGGAAACCAGAGCACUCGAAGGUAUAGCGACUGUACCGCAUGGGUUCUUCUGUCUCGACUCUACUGACUGUACUGUAUUUACUCUACUGACUGGUGUAUCGACUGUACUGCGCCGACUGUCAGUGUAAUGUACUUUCAUGCCAACAUGAAAAUAUGUAUUUUAUUUUAAUCCAUAUUAACACUGAGCCAAAGAAAGGAAUGUGAUGUAUUUCUAUUUAUUGGUUUCAUAAACAGCGUAGAUAUGACAAUUUUAGACCGUUUGAAUUUUCUCCGUCCAGAAAGAGAGAAAAAGCAGCAGUCCACCCACAAUCCACCCACAAUGCACCACGGU